rnacentral:sRNA from 1 species
GGACUCCGCCCGGGCCGAAAGCCUCUCCUCCGCGGCGUGCUUGCACGGAAGCGGAGGAAGGACUUUAUGACGCGCCCCCCACUCAUGAGCAUGGAGAGGGACCUCGUCCCUCGGGAAUGCGAAUGAGGGGCGCAGGCCGCAAGACGCGAAGCGGCGGAGGCAUGCGGGAAUCA